UAAUGUAUCGCAACGUGCCCUGUAGCGGGGGAUAACUGGCCGAAAGGUCAGCUAAUACCGCAGACGCCCUACGGGGGAAAGGGGGGGAUCGCAAGACCUCUCACUAUUGGAGCGGCCGAUAUCGGAUUAGCUAGUUGGUGGGGUAAAGGCCUACCAAGGCGACGAUCCGUAGCUGGUUUGAGAGGACGACCAGCCACACUGGGACUGAGACACGGCCCAGACUCCUACGGGAGGCAGCAGUGGGGAAUUUUGGACAAUGGGGGAAACCCUGAUCCAGCCAUCCCGCGUGUGCGAUGAAGGCCUUCGGGUUGUAAAGCACUUUUGGCAGGGAAGAAACAGCCUGGGUUAAUACCCCGGGCGACUGACGGUACCUGCAGAAUAAGCACCGGCUAACUACGUGCCAGCAGCCGCGGUAAUACGUAGGGUGCAAGCGUUAAUCGGAAUUACUGGGCGUAAAGCGUGCGCAGGCGGUUCGGAAAGAAAGGUGUGAAAUCCCAGGGCUUAACCUUGGAACUGCACUUUUAACUACCGGGCUAAAGU
rnacentral:rRNA from 1 species